CGCUCCUUCUCUUCUUGCAUGCACAGAUGGCCCCUCCCUCUAGAGUAGUUUUAAAGCGCCCCAUGGAUAGUGAUGAAGACAAUGUUGUUCUCACUAGCUAAUGCAGGUCAGCUAGAGCUAAGAAGGCAAAGAACUCGUUAACUCCUUCAGCGCCUAUGCCCCUGCCGCUCCUACGUCACCCUCACGCCCUCGCAGACGAUGAUGUUGAUGUCGAUGCAGCCAAAGCAUUGCGCACCUUCUUCAACGUCGUUGAUUAUGCCCCAGCUCAGAAUCCCCUAAGGCUCCACUUCGCUUCUGAGACAACUAUCUAUGGCAAGCUCUUCAUGGCUACGACUGCUCUCAUGGUUUUGCUCGGCCACAAGCGCUACGACAUAUCAGAGAGCCCCGCCGGUGUUAUGCAUGUUUUUACUCGAAGCAUCAAGGACGCCGUGCUGCUCGAAUCGCAAGUGCAUGCUGCAUUCGGUGUCAUACUAUACGUCCAUCGCGUGUCUAUGGUUGACCGCGAGUUUUGUUAUGCACGCGGCGAAGCUGCUGCGUUCAAGUUGUAUGAGCACGACCGUUUGUGAUGUGUGCCUGCUGA